UCAGUGAUUAAGUAGUCAUUAGGGCCGCCGGGCCGGUUGUUCCGUUACCACGCCCCGCCGCCGACUUAAAAACAAACACGGGAUGCUGCUUCAGUAGGCUGUGCCUGAAGCCUAAGACCAUCCAGCUAAGUGAUAUAUUGGUUUGUUCAUUCCCUGUAUAUCGCCGACAAGCAAUAAUGAAAUAAACAUGUAGAAAGCUUUCGACGGAUAUGUUUGGACAGGGGUUCGAUUCCCCUCAGCUCCACCU
rnacentral:tmRNA from 1 species